rnacentral:misc_RNA from 1 species
GAUGAAGAACGGAGCGAAAUGCGAUAAGUAAUGUGAAUUGCAGAAUUCAGUGAAUCAUCGAAUCUUUGAACGCACAUUGCGCCCCCUGGUAUUCCGGGGGGCAUGCCUGUCCGAGCGUCAUUACAACCCUCAAGCUCAGCUUGGUGUUGGGCCCCGCCGCCCCGGCGGGCCCUAAAGUCAGUGGCGGUGCCGUCCGGCUCCGAGCGUAGUAAUUCUUCUCGCUCUGGAGGUCCGGUCGUGUGCUCGCCAGCAACCCCCAAUUUUUUUCAGGUUGACCUCGGAUCAGGAAGGGAUACCCGCUGAACUUAAGCAUAUCAAUAAGCGGAGGA